rnacentral:rRNA from 1 species
GACGAACGCCGGCGGCGUGCUUAACACAUGCAAGUCGAACGAUGAAGCCGGAGCUUGCUCCGGUGGAUUAGUGGCGAACGGGUGAGUAACACGUGAGCAAUCUGCCCUUGACUCUGGGAUAACCGCGGGAAACUGUAGCUAAUACCGGAUACGACACCUUGGGGCAUCCCAGGGUGUGGAAAGAAUUUCGGUCAAGGAUGAGCUCGCGGCCUAUCAGCUAGUUGGUGAGGUAAUGGCUCACCAAGGCGACGACGGGUAGCCGGCCUGAGAGGGUGACCGGCCACACUGGAACUGAGACACGGUCCAGACUCCUACGGGAGGCAGCAGUGGGGAAUAUUGCACAAUGGGCGAAAGCCUGAUGCAGCAACGCCGCGUGAGGGAUGAAGGCCUUCGGGUUGUAAACCUCUUUUAGCAGGGAAGAAGCGAAAGUGACGGUACCUGCAGAAAAAGCACCGGCUAACUACGUGCCAGCCGCCGCAGUAA